rnacentral:lncRNA from 1 species
UACAGUUUCCGGUCUACACCACCAGUACUCUUAUUAAUUAUUUUUACAGCCAAGCACCAUAUUAAAUAGUGUUCAACUGCCUCUUUUUUCAAAAUACUCUCACAGCUAUCCCACUUUGUGUAAGCAGCUUCUGUAUAUACAUAUAUCAUCUUACUUCUACAAUUAGUAAAUGAAAAGAGGAUAUGAUGAAGUAAUUAUCUUCAUUUUCUUCAUGGAGGUUUUACAAAGGGUUCCUUACAGAGUUCUUUGGCAUUCUGUCCACCUCCCCGAUCUCCUUUUUAGAUAGAAAAAAAAAGGAUUAAUUUCAGAAGAAAAAUAGUUUUUUGUUUUAAUUUAUGUGAUGUAGUUUGAAACGACGAGAUAGUAAAGUGUAGAAUUAUGGAGGUGGGCUUACUGCCAACAGAUUUCUGUUGGUUUCUCUUUGUGAAAUCCUCGUGAUUUAUCUAUAUAACACGUUCUUCAUGUUGUUGCUUUGUUUUCCCCCAGAUUUUGCGCUGAUGAUAAUUAGGGUUUUGGAAUUCUAAAGGUAACAAAAAGACAAAUCUUUCGUUAUUUGGUUUCAGUUUUAGCACUCUUUUCUUUUUCUUUGUUUUUUUGUUGUUGUCUGUUUUCAGUUCAUAGAUUGAGAAGGGAACAUUUAUAUAGCCGUUCUCAACUCAUUUGAAAUUGAGGAGCAGCUCUUUGUUAUUGUAUCAUCCAUCUCAUGCAAUUUCACUCCUCAGAUGAGCAAUUGGGAAAUAAACAUAUUCUUGAUCCAUCAAACUUGUAACUCAAAAACCCUAAGUUUUCAUCUCCGCUUACUUUCUUUACUUUGAUAUUAAUCCCUAUACCUAGAAAUUUUUGUAUACUAGUUCCACUUUCCUAUGUAUGAUUUUCAUUUUUUAAAGAAAAGAAAAUCAAUUUUAACAUUUUUUUUUUGACUAUAUGCUUAUUGCUUUCCCAUUAAAAGAAACUUAAAUGGUAAAAGCCUAAAAGGAUCCAGAAAGAUAGAGGAGGUUUUCAAUGUGGUUAGAAGUUAGAAAGUAGAAUGGAUUCUGAGAAUAUUUAUUAAUUAUAAACCAAAGUGCUACUAUACGUUUUGCUUAUUUCAUUACCAUUUGAAUCAAACUUUCAAGUGAAAAGAUUUAUAUUUAUGUUUCCAAAUGGAUGACUGCAGAGGAGGAGGCAUGACUUUUGCUAAAUGGGUUCAGAAAAGGAAUAAAUUAAAUAAUUUAGUGAGAUCAUAAGUAGUGAGAAUUGAACUAAUGAUGUCAUAAUGUUUUGAACCCCUUGACCACUAAAUUAUGCUUUUGAGCUGUAUUAAGAGGAAUCAACACAUAAUAUAUAAAAGUAAAAAUCAGAUUUUGCCUUAUAUAGUGUAAUUUUUGGGCGAGGGGUUCAGUUGCACUCUCUUGCGCCCCUAAAUCCGCCACGGGAUUGACUGUUUUGUUGUGUCAUUUUGUUUGUGUAUGUUUUUGUCCGUCGAUGUUUGUUAUCACUCGUCUUUAACUAGUGUUCAACUAUCUUGCUAGCUAGUAUGCGUCAGUUUUGGAGUUAUGAUUAUUGUUAUUCAUUCGGGUAAUUUGUAAUGCCGACGUGAUAGCAAAGAUAUUUUUUAUUGUGUAGAUAGUAUAGAAAACUAGUGUUAAUAUGUGUAGAAACAAUGAAGAGACAUUGGAAUUCCUUCCAGGGUUUCUUGUCUUUUAGUGAAGAUACGUAGAAGAGGGGUUGCUCUGAUGAUAAGCAAGCUUUACUUCCAACCGAAAGGUAGUGAGUUCGAGUCUCUCCAAGAGCAAGGUGGGAAGUUAUUGGAAGAAAGUAUGCCGGGGGUCUAUUUGGAAACAGCCUCUCUACCCCAGGAUAGAGGUAAGGUCUGCGUACAUACUACCCUCUCCAGACCUCACUAUGUGAGAUUAUACUGAGUUCUUGUUGUUGUUACGUAGAAGAAGUGAAGAACUAACGGUUUAACUAGAUUCAGUAAUAUUAACUAGAAUUAUAAAUGUAUAUGUGAAAAAUUAUAAAAUUUUAAUUAAUAUUAAAUUUUGAACUUACAAUGUUAGAGCGUUCAGUGCAAAGAAUUUUAAAUGUUGAACCCAUCAGGUCUGAUUCUACUUGUAUUAUUGUUACUAUCCUUGAAUUUUUUUGAUUAUUGUAUCACCGUUGACAAGGGGCAGACGUAGGAUUUCUGUUACAGGUUUAACUAAAUUCGUUUUUAACACGGCCAGUAUUUUGUUUGAACCCAUAUUUUUAGUGGUAAAAUGAGUUUUAUGUUAAAAUAUUUAAGAUAUAAACUCAUUAAAUUUAAAUUCUGAAUCUUAUGGAGUGAAAUUCUUUUGCAUUUCCGGUUGGUGAAGAAGAAAGAAGAGCAGAUUGAAGAUUGUAAAGGGCAGAGAAUAGGCUCAUGAUUGAUGUCUGACAUUUUGCCAUUAAAUUAUGGCAAAAGUUCCUUUUCCUACGCUCCUAUUAAAGCGGACCAAAUGAAUUAAUACUCUCUGUAUAUUAAUUUAAUUUGGGAAUAGGAAUCGAACCUACUUUUUGCUAUGCACAUACAUAGCUGUAAACUUAUUUAGAGGUUGUAAGUUCAAAUCUCCCCAAUAGUAAGGUGGGAAGUUUUUGGAGGGAUAAAUGCCGGUGGUAUAUUUGGAAAUAGUCUCUCUAUCCAAGGGUAGGGUAAGAUCUACGUAUAUACUAUUAUCUCUAGACCCCACUAAAUGAGAUUAUACUGGAUUGUUGUUGUUGUAUUACUUGUAUACAUAGCUGCAAACCUAUUUUUCUGGUAUGGAUUGUGGUAGCGUUGAAAAGUGUAUAUGUAUCUUUUUUCAUUUUUAUUUUGCUC